rfam:Brassica rapa chromosome A7, whole genome shotgun sequence.
AAGGGUCAAGUGAGGAUUGAUUUCGCAUAGUUCAGAUGAUAAAAAAUCUUACAUGAUUACAUUUAUCUUUCGCUCCUAUCUGAUGACCUUC